UUAGGUUCUACAAACACGCAGAAUCGAGCGGUCGGAAGUUCGAGCCGAGCGUAGCGAGACAACGUUGCUUUAGCAACGGCCCGCAGGGCGAGGCGUUAGCCGAGUCAUCUUCCUGGGUGCACCA
rnacentral:sRNA from 1 species